rnacentral:rRNA from 1 species
GACGAACGCUGGCGGCGUGCUUAACACAUGCAAGUCGAACGGAAAGGCCCUGCUUUUGUGGGGUGCUCGAGUGGCGAACGGGUGAGUAACACGUGAGUAACCUGCCCUUGACUUUGGGAUAACUUCAGGAAACUGGGGCUAAUACCGGAUAGGAGCUCCUGCUGCAUGGUGGGGGUUGGAAAUUUUCGGCGGUUGGGGAUGGACUCGCGGCUUAUCAGCUUGUUGGUGGGGUAGUGGCUUACCAAGGCUUUGACGGGUAGCCGGCCUGAGAGGGUGACCGGCCACAUUGGGACUGAGAUGCGGCCCAGACUCCUACGGGAGGCAGCAGUGGGGAAUAUUGCACAAUGGGCGGAAGCCUGAUGCAGCAACGCCGCGUGCGGGAUGACGGCCUUCGGGUUGUAAACCGCUUUCGCCUGUGACGAAGCGUGAGUGACGGUAAUGGGUAAAGAAGCACCGGCUAACUACGUG